rnacentral:misc_RNA from 1 species
UAUUAUUAUUCAACACUAAUUAGUCACGUCAUUAAUAAUAUCGAUUCCCUCCACUUGACAAUAACCAUUAUUAUUUUUUUACACUCCGCACGCAACGGCACUCUGGGAAUUAUAAUCUGAAACGUCAUCAUGAAGUGAAAUCUCGCAAAUGUGCUAUCUUCGUAUAUAUUACGAUAACUGCCCACAUGCUCACAUAAAUUUAAGAUAGCUCAAACUUCUGUUCAAUGAUUGCGCAAUGCAGGGAGACUAGAGGGAAGGAGUGGACACAGCAUAGGAGAAUAAGUAGUAACGACGUCCUCAAAAUCCUGUCUUAAUUACGUUCUCAUUUUUGCCACCAGGCGUAAAAAUCCUACAUAUAGUAAUAGAAUUUAUCCACACCGUGAAAGUGACCGCUCGGCGCGUACGCAAAAAAAUGAAAAUCUCCAGAGAUCUGCAAUUGCUGUGCAAUUAAAGGUUAUAUAAACCGAGAGUUAAUGAAAGAAGUGUUAUUGUGUCGUAUUUACAGAAACAAAAUUGGAUUUGUGAUAACUUUCUUACGAAUCUCGUAGAGAAUUAUUGUCUGGCGUAACUAGAGUUGUGGUUCGACUUAUUUUUACAAGCAAGCAUGCUGAAAAUUUGUAGUGUGCCUGGGUGCGAAAGCGGCAAAUAUCAAGAUCGCAAGAGACGAAUUGAGCUAGGGUUGCAGCCCAUUUCUCUGUUUGCUGUACCAAAGAGUGAUGACCGGCUGAAAGCAUGGGAAAAUGCUCUGAAGCAAAAUUUAAACAAAACCCAGCACAUUUGUCAUUUACAUUUUGCGGAUGAACACAUUCGAAAAAAUUAUAAAAUCAAAUUGCCUGAUGGUAGUGUUAUGGGCAAACCUUUCAAGCGCUGGCUAUUGGUAGACGAUGCUAUACCAACACUGCCAAAUCGAUCCGUCGAACAAAGCGAGAACAAUAACGUUUUCGAGGUAGACACUGUACUUGAGCAGCACGCUCUCCAGGAUUGCAGUAUGAAAAUAGUAGAUGAUGAAAUUAUAGAGCCGGCCGAAAAUGUUACUCUAAAUGGCAAUCGAAUUUUUUCCAUUGAUGAUUUCAAAAGCGAUCUGAGUUCGAAUUUUUUACCCGAGUACUGGACUUGGAGUCAGCAAGGCUCGGACGCAUUAUUUACUUAUUUGGAUCGAUCGGAUAUGUCAAUACGACUGCAUCUGGUUGUGCAUGAAGAUCUCUCGAUACAAAUUCGGAGUAUUACAAACAGAAUAGUCAAUUUGGAGGACAACAUUGGUAGAACAGCUGACAUUCUUCAACACAUGAAUGUAGCUCAUUCAAGCCUAUUUGCAGAGGGACGGACAUCGAAGACGAAAGGUUUUAGUGUGUUCGUUGUCGACGGCUUCGCAAAAAGUUAUUGCAGAGAAUCAAGGCAAAAGAACUGCAAGCAAAGUAUGAAAAGUCAAAAUACGCCGCGCAGUUAGGACGGCGCAAGAAUCUACGUUUGCAGCUAAAGAUCGAGAUGAUGAAGGCGACGAUCAAUCAGUUACAAAUUGAGUGUGCGACAAUCGACAGCCGCGUACUGUAAGAAAAAAUUUCUGGUUUUCCGGAGGCGCAACAAGAAGCAAUUAAAUCGUGUUUUGCAGCUUCCAAUGUAAAAAAUUCCCACGGACGAAGAUAUAUAAUGAACUGGAUUUACGAAUGCUUGUUGAUGAGGAUAAAAAAUGCAGCGCUGUACGAACAUAUUAGGGAUCGAAAAAUUUUACCACUUCCCUGUCGCAAAACAUUAGGCCAAUAUAUUCAGAAGAUGAGCUCUUCGACCUACGGCUUCCAGGAAGCUGUUUUUGAAGGUCUUCGGAGAAAAGGAUCACGAAUGGAAAAAUCUUUUAAAAGAGGCGUCCUCCUUGUCGAUGAGAUGAAGCUGAGCGAGGCAAUUUCUUUCGAUCGAAAGACUUUGAAGUUUGGUGGUUUCGUUAACCUAGGCCAGUAUACUCCGGAAACUGCCAAAGACAGGAGAGCAGAUCAUGCGCUCGUUUUUAUGUUUCAACCGUUUCGAGGUUGAUGGGUACAAGCCGUUGGCUACUUUCUGAGCAAAGACUCAGUAACGAGUAGGGUGUUGCACAAGUUAAUUUUGGAGUGCGUGAUUCUGCUCGGCAACGUGGGUUUUUACGUCGAUGGUGUGGUAACCGAUGGAGCUCAGUGGAACCGGGGAAUGUGGAAUAUUUUCGGCAUCCACGAAAAUAAUCUGAGUUGUCCACAUCCCUGUGAUGAAAAUAAAAGAAUGUGGAUGACUUCAGAUUUUCCACAUUUGAUCAAAUGCUUUCGCACUGGAUGUAUUAAUCAUCCCUCAUUCGAGACGCCUGACGGAACUGUUAAAAAACAACACUUCGAAGCAUUGUUGCAAUGCGAGAACUUUUCAAAGCCCAAUUUAAAAUUGGCAUACAAAUUGACGCCUGCACAUCUAAAUCCCGCAGGAUAUCAGAAGAUGAACGUCCCUUUGGCUUUUGAGGUAGCUAGCGUUUACAAUGUUGUUCACAAUAUAUAUUGUGAACAACAUUGUAAACAUCGCGUAAAACAUCGCGCGCGACGUAAAACAUCGCGCGCGACGCGGCGCGAUGUUUUGACCGAGCGCGUACAACGACCGGGGAGCCGCGUCACUGCUGGCCGGCGGCGGCCGUACUGGAGGGCAAUACAAAGGCCCGAUACAAGCGGCGGAGCGCGACACUAGCGGCGCCGCAUAUUAAAAACUUGAACUAUUAUAUUUUUUUGUUUUGUUAAUUAAAAUUCA